GUUACGUUACUCCUACAACAGAGCGUAAAACAAGCCAUUCGUCAGUGUAUCAGAAUUAUUUGAAAGUGUUAAAAAAACAACAACACAUACAUAGGCUAUAAUUGUUUUAUAUAGCCAUGCAUGUUGUAUUAAAGCCAUUACAGGAAUAAUGGAAUAGCCUAUAAAUGGAUUUCUUUGUAAAGAAAAGAUUACAACAGUGGAACCUCUGCAAUUUAAUAGAAACAUUUCAAGGUUGGUACUAAUAUGGUCCACUACCUCAACAAUGAGACAAGCGAGGAUCCACAUGUCUUGGUGCUUGGAGACAAAGAAAAUUCCUCCCAAAUUUUCAUCAUUUUCAUUUGAGAGGCAGUUGAAAAGGAGACCUUACUUCAAGCAGUGAAUGAAUGCUUCAAAACGUUCUACAUCUAUGACGUAAACUACCCAAGGCCAAUUUGGGAGUUUUUGCAGCAUGCAGUCUAUAAUAUUCCUGGAGGAGUUCCUUCUACACAUUGCUGCCUCCUAAAAAACUUUGUAUUCAAAGUUACUGAUCAUCAGUUGAUCCAGUAGCCAAAACACACCUUUAAGGGUUAGUUCACCCACAAAUGAAAAUUCUGUCAUUAAUCACCCUCAUGUUGUUCCAAACCCGCAAGACCUCCGUUCAUCUUUGGAACACAAAUUAAGAUAUUGUUGAUGCAUUCUGACA